UACGAAGGGGGCUAGCGUUGUUCGGAAUUACUGGGCGUAAAGCGCACGUAGGCGGAUAUUUAAGUCAGGGGUGAAAUCCCAGAGCUCAACUCUGGAACUGCCUUUGAUACUGGGUAUCUUGAGUAUGGAAGAGGUGAGUGGAAUUCCGAGUGUAGAGGUGAAAUUCGUAGAUAUUCGGAGGAACAUCAGUGGCGAAGGCGGCUCACUGGUCCAUUACUGACGCUGAGGUGCGAAAGCGUGGGAGCAAACAGG
rnacentral:rRNA from 1 species